rnacentral:misc_RNA from 1 species
CAGGAUUCGCAAGUCUCCUAUAACCCCUGUGAACCUACUGUAUAUACGUUGCUUCGGCGGGUGCCCCGCGUAACACCGGGGCGCUACGCCCGCCGGCAGCCUACAAAUUCUGUUUCUUUGCGUUGGCAUCUCGAGUAUUUUUAAUAAGUUA